UACGUAGGGUGCAAGCGUUGUCCGGAAUUAUUGGGCGUAAAGAGCUCGUAGGCGGUUUGUCGCGUCUGCUGUGAAAACGCGAGGCUCAACCUCGCGCCUGCAGUGGGUACGGGCAGACUAGAGUGCGGUAGGGGAGAUUGGAAUUCCUGGUGUAGCGGUGGAAUGCGCAGAUAUCAGGAGGAACACCGAUGGCGAAGGCAGAUCUCUGGGCCGUUACUGACGCUGAGGAGCGGAAGCGUGGGGAGCGAACAGG
rnacentral:rRNA from 1 species